UUGGGCCUUCCAAAUGUUCAAAAGUUGUGGACGCAAUUUGCUUGACCGAAAACUCAGGGUGCAUUGGUCUUCUCCCCUUCAAGCACAUAAAUACUUCUAAGCUCCCCAAUUUUCACAGACAAAAAUCACCCUCGAUGGACUUCACCAACAUUUCAUUUGGUUGUGUCCAGUAAACCAAAAUCUUCAAACUCAGAAGCUCCGAUGGGGCUGCAUAUGUUGGCUCUAGCCAAGCUCAACCUCCUCUCAGCCUCCAGUAGUGCAAACCCAAUCCUGACGAGCUUGAUAUGGCCAUUUGUGCUGAAGUUGUCGUUCAGUUUGAAGCCAGUUCGUCUAACUUACAUCGAUGUGCUCCAUGCAUGUAGGCUCUUCGUAUUUCAACUGGGUCAGAUAGCGUUUGGCACAGAUCAACCACCUCUUCGUGGUGGCCGCAGAUGGGAGAGAGCUAUUCGGUUGGUUUGGCAGAGGUUAACGCAAUCAAGACGCUCAUUGCCCACACAGUCUGACGAGGACAACUUUCAUACCCUCACCGUCAUAUCACUUUAGACCACUCUGCUUUUCCGUGAUCUAUCAUCGACAGUUGUGAUCUUGUUUGCUAGUUUGCCAAUAAGCAAGUUGCUAUAUCUUGCUCCACUGUAAAGUAUGCGUAUCGUGCCCUUGUUUAUGUUGUUGUUGAUAUUCGAUGGUUUCGUUAUCAUGUACAUGAGUUCAACACUCCUCUUUGUUCUUUUCUAUGACAACCAAUUUGCUCUCCACAUAGUCA